rnacentral:lncRNA from 10 species
ACGUCCUUCCAAAGUGUGAGGCAUUCAGACUUGACCUCCAGUGUCUAUUGGCAUAUCUCAAAAAGAGCCAUUGUCCUGACGAUGCCCAUGAUCUCCCAGAAAGAUGUAAAGAGAAAUGACACUGGUAUCCAGAGUAGCCCAGAGGUAAGCAGAGCCCAGACCCCCAUAGGGCUGCCCACGUUAGCAAAUAGAAAUACAGGAAGUUAAAGUCAAAUUUCAGACCCUAGAGUGCUCAACAUUGUACUACAGACCCCAAUGCUUUACAUUUCAGAUAAGCAAUAAAUAAUUGUCUGGUAUAUGUAUGUCCCACAUAAGCCAUGGAAUAUAUUUGUACUAAAAGAACCAUUCACAUUUAACUGGGCAUCUGGUAUUUUAUCUGGCAACCCUAGCAAGAAGGCAGGGGCAGCACAGGUACAUGAAGGCCACUUUGCUCUACUGAUAGAUGAAUACAAUAUUCUUUGCAUCUGUGUUUCCCUGAUGAGUAUUAUAAACUAAUGUUUUCGUGCAACCAAGAUAGGAGUAUAUUUUAGGGAGUCUCUGCACAGCCAUGAGUGAGAAGGUAGUGUUAACAAAGAAGAAGGAAGUGUUAGUGAAAAAUUGGAGAGACUGGAACAGAAGUGCUGAUUUCAAAGCAUGCCUUGAACACUAGGCAUUUGCCAUCAGACAGGUCAGUAGACUCGUAGGGAAGGGAGAAAGGAAGGAAGACUUUUUCAAGUAGUUUAGCUUUGCCCAUAAAUUGUGAUGAUAUCUACCUACUGACGAUGGCUUUUGAGAGACUUAAAUAAUACCACCAACCACAAAAGUGCUUUAUAGAGUACAAAAUAUUACACAAAUUGUCAGGAUCACAUUUCCCAACUAUACCUGUUUUAGGAGGAAGAAAGGGAGGAAAAGGAGCAGGAACCUCUUUCUCCUCCUCUUCUGUAUCUAUCUGCUUGAUCCUGAGCUGAUGGUCUUUCAUGUAUUAAGGAAUGUCAUAUCACUAUGACCACCUCAGCUACUGCUAAUUAAUUCAACUCAAGCUACUGCUAAAUGAAUGACAGCAGAUUUCGAUAUCCUGCUAACUUGCUUUUUAGCUUAGAGCAGCCAGGCUAUUUUGCAGCCAACCAAAUACACAUCAAAGAAUGUUAAGUCUUUCUGUGCCACAGAUAUAAUACAGAUUUCUUUACAAAACAAAGAUGGAGGGUCAAUAUUCCCUGAGGCAAAAUGCUGAAAUAUAUCAAUUGCUAUCCAAUAUAAAGCACUGUUUUAACAGUGAACAUCCUUGGAGUCAGAAGACCUGGGUUUAAGGAGAAACUCUGCCAUGUAUUGUGUGUUCUGGGCUAAUCCUUUAACCUCACUGAACUGUAAUUUUGUUUUUUUUUUUUUUGAAAAAUAACCUUAUCUUUCAUAUAAGCUGUUGUGAUGAUUACAUGUGGUUUAUAUACAUAUAUAGCCCUUUGUGAAAUACAAUACACAAUAAAAUAUAACCUGUUAUUCUCA